CCGAGCCGUCCACUCAAAAUUUCGAUCAGCUGUUCGAAUCUGUCUCAUAAAAUGGCUUAUAAUGAAACUGUAUGGUGCAGAAAGUGUCUUUUUCAUCACAAUUUCUGCUGCUGGGCAAGCGGUAAAUCACUAUGGCUUCUGUACCGUGUGUAGCAGCAUCGACCAGUGCCACCAGCUUUUGCACUCCCGGUGGGGCAAAUGCGGCUGGUUCUGCUGCUGUUCGCAGCGGUAGCAGCAAUAGCAAUAGCAGCAGCAAAAAUCGCGUUUCGUUCGAUGCCAAUAUGAGUGAUUUCCAGCAAGUUCCUCUUAUUGGAGACUUCGAUAUGGAUGGAAGGGGCCUGCUGAAAUCCUGAAGGUCCAACAGUCUUACCACGACGGUGAGCAGUGCAUGCGGACUUUCGUUUGGCGAGCUGCAUCAGCAAAAGCAUAACAACGAAUAUUUAUCAGCGGAAAAUCUAGCUAACCUGCAGCUUCUGCAGAAUAAACCAAGGAGUUUCUCCUAAACCAUGGACAGUCCUCGUUCGUCGGUACAGUGUGCUACUGCGAAUGAAAUGAUUAAUGGCUGACUACCAGGGCCUGACACAAGCUCCCUAAAUUUCUGAGCGCCAUGCCACCUAAAUUUCCGGUAGACUAUGCUGCGCGAAUUUGGUUACAGUCCCUCGCUGGCACUCGGACGAUGAUCAGCUGCCCCUAACAUAGGGAAAAAAUGCUGUUGUGAGCCGUUUCUAACAUGGAGAACAGACGCUCGUUCAGAUUUGCACCCAAGAGAUGAGCAAACUCCCUACUUUCCCUGUCACCGUACAACCAUAGUUCCCACCGGGGUUGGUUACCCGAUGCUCCCUAAGGCUGCUCGUUCCCGGCCAGCACCACGGGGAGGUAGGGAUAGGCG